rnacentral:rRNA from 1 species
ACUACCCGCUGAACUUAAGCAUAUCAAUAAGCGGAGGAAAAGAAACCAACAGGGAUUGCCUUAGUAACGGCGAGUGAAGCGGCAAAAGCUCAAAUUUGAAAUCUAGCACUUUCAGUGUUCGAGUUGUAAUUUGAAGAAGGUAACUUUCGAGUUGGCUCUUGUCUAUGUUCCUUGGAACAGGACGUCACAGAGGGUGAGAAUCCCGUCCGAUGAGAUGCCCAAUUCUUAGUAAAGUGCUUUCGAAGAGUCGAGUUGUUUGGGAAUGCAGCUCUAAGUGGGUGGUAAAUUCCAUCUAAAGCUAAAUAUUGGCGAGAGACCGAUAGCGAACAAGUACAGUGAUGGAAAGAUGAAAAGAACUUUGAAAAGAGAGUG